rnacentral:misc_RNA from 1 species
UCAAACUUGGUCAUUUAGAGGAAGUAAAAGUCGUAACAAGGUUUCCGUAGGUGAACCUGCGGAAGGAUCAUUAACAAUCGCCUCUCGGGGGGCCGGUUUUGCAGAUUUUUAACAAAAAGUCUCCACUACCCGCCCUGUCUGACUACACCCAUGAUUUUUUGCGCACCUCUUGUUUCCUCGGCAGGCAAGCCUGCCAGCAGGACCAUUUUUAAAACCUAUUGCAGUUGCAGUCAGCGUCAGAUAAAAAUUUAAUGGUUACAACUUUCAACAACGGAUCUCUUGGUUCUGGCAUCGAUGAAGAACGCAGC